rnacentral:rRNA from 1 species
UAUAAUGGGUCAGCGACUUAUAUUCUGUAGCAAGGUUAACCGCAUAGGGGAGCCGAAGGGAAACCGAGUCUUAAUUGGGCGUUAAGUUGCAGGGUAUAGACCCGAAACCCGGUGAUCUAGCCAUGGGCAGGUUGAAGGUUGGGUAACACUAACUGGAGGACCGAACCGACUAAUGUUGAAAAAUUAGCGGAUGACCUGUGGCUGGGGGUGAAAGGCCAAUCAAACCGGGAGAUAGCUGGUUCUCCCCGAAAGCUAUUUAGGUAGCGCCUCGUGAAUUCAUCUCCGGGGGUAGAGCACUGUUUCGGCUAGGGGGCCAUCCCGGCUUACCAACCCGAUGCAAACUGCGAAUACCGGAGAAUGUUAUCACGGGAGACACACGGCGGGUGCUAACGUCCGUCGUGAAGAGGGAAACAACCCAGACCGCCAGCUAAGGUCCCAAAGUCAUGGUUAAGUGGGAAACGAUGUGGGAAGGCCCAGACAGCCAGGAUGUUGGCUUAGAAGCAGCCAUCAUUUAAAGAAAGCGUAAUAGCUCACUGGUCGAGUCGGCCUGCGCGGAAGAUGUAACGGGGCUAAACCAUGCACCGAAGCUGCGGCAGCGAACGUAUCACUUAAAACGAUUCAGAAGCUUACGAUUGACGGAGCGAAGCGACGUCAAAGCGUAUACAAAGUCGAGUCGGUUUAAGGAUACGUUCGUUGGGUAGGGGAGCGUUCUGUAAGCCGUUGAAGGUGUCCUGUGAGGGGUGCUGGAGGUAUCAGAAGUGCGAAUGCUGACAUAAGUAACGAUAAAGCGGGUGAAAAGCCCGCUCGCCGGAAGACCAAGGGUUCCUGUCCAACGUUAAUCGGGGCAGGGUGAGUCGACCCCUAAGGCGAGGCCGAAAGGCGUAGUCGAUGGGAAACGGGUUAAUAUUCCCGUACUUGGUGUUACUGCGAAGGGGGGACGGAGAAGGCUAUGUUGGCCGGGCGACGGUUGUCCCGGUUUAAGCGUGUAGGUGUGUGUUCCAGGUAAAUCCGGUUCACUUUAACACUGAGGCGUGAUGACGAGGCACCACGGUGCUGAAGCAACAAAUGCCCUGCUUCCAGGAAAAGCCUCUAAGCAUCAGGUAACAUCAAAUCGUACCCCAAACCGACACAGGUGGUCAGGUAGAGAAUACCAAGGCGCUUGAGAGAACUCGGGUGAAGGAACUAGGCAAAAUGGUGCCGUAACUUCGGGAGAAGGCACGCUGACACGUAGGUGAAGUGAUUUACUCAUGGAGCUGAAGUCAGUCGAAGAUACCAGCUGGCUGCAACUGUUUAUUAAAAACACAGCACUGUGCAAACACGAAAGUGGACGUAUACGGUGUGACGCCUGCCCGGUGCCGGAAGGUUAAUUGAUGGGGUCAGCGCAAGCGAAGCUCCUGAUCGAAGCCCCGGUAAACGGCGGCCGUAACUAUAACGGUCCUAAGGUAGCGAAAUUCCUUGUCGGGUAAGUUCCGACCUGCACGAAUGGCGUAAUGAUGGCCAGGCUGUCUCCACCCGAGACUCAGUGAAAUUGAACUCGCUGUGAAGAUGCAGUGUACCCGCGGCAAGACGGAAAGACCCCGUGAACCUUUACUAUAGCUUGACACUGAACAUUGAGCCUUGAUGUGUAGGAUAGGUGGGAGGCUUUGAAGCGUGGACGCCAGUCUGCGUGGAGCCGACCUUGAAAUACCACCCUUUAAUGUUUGAUGUUCUAACGUGGACCCGUAAUCCGGGUUGCGGACAGUGUCUGGUGGGUAGUUUGACUGGGGCGGUCUCCUCCUAAAGAGUAACGGAGGAGCACGAAGGUUGGCUAAUCCUGGUCGGACAUCAGGAGGUUAGUGCAAUGGCAUAAGCCAGCUUGACUGCGAGCGUGACGGCGCGAGCAGGUGCGAAAGCAGGUCAUAGUGAUCCGGUGGUUCUGAAUGGAAGGGCCAUCGCUCAACGGAUAAAAGGUACUCCGGGGAUAACAGGCUGAUACCGCCCAAGAGUUCAUAUCGACGGCGGUGUUUGGCACCUCGAUGUCGGCUCAUCACAUCCUGGGGCUGAAGUAGGUCCCAAGGGUAUGGCUGUUCGCCAUUUAAAGUGGUACGCGAGCUGGGUUUAGAACGUCGUGAGACAGUUCGGUCCCUAUCUGCCGUGGGCGCUGGAAGACUGAGGGGGGCUGCUCCUAGUACGAGAGGACCGGAGUGGACGCAUCACUGGUGUUCGGGUUGUCAUGCCAAUGGCACUGCCCGGUAGCUAAAUGCGGAAAAGAUAAGUGCUGAAAGCAUCUAAGCACGAAACUUGCCCCGAGAUGAGUCUUCCCUGAGACCUUGAGUCUCCUGAAGGAACGUUAAAGACGAUGACGUUGAUAGGCCGGGUGUGUAAGCGCAGCGAUGCGUUGAGCUAACCGGUACUAAUGAACCGUGAGGCUUAACCUUACAACGCCGAAG